rnacentral:rRNA from 1 species
GUGUCAGCAGCCGCGGUAAUACGAAGGGGGCUAGCGUUGUUCGGAAUUACUGGGCGUAAAGCGCACGCAGGCGGUUCGAUUAGUCAGAAGUGAAAGCCCCGGGCUCAACCUGGGAACUGCUUUUGAUACUGUCGAGCUUGAAUCACGGAGAGGGUAGUGGAAUUCCGAGUGUAGAGGUGAAAUUCGUAGAUAUUCGGAAGAACACCAGUGGCGAAGGCGACUACCUGGCCGUCGAUUGACGCUCAUGUGCGAAAGCGUGGGGAGCAAACAGGAUUAGAUACCCGAGUAGUCC